rnacentral:lncRNA from 1 species
UACGCAUGGAUAAGAGCCUGAAAUAAUUUAUGAUAAAUUGACACAAUUUAUUGAAUUUUGUAUCAUGGAUUAUGGAUAGGUGGUGAGUCAAUUGUUUCGGGUAAGAGACUGCACCCGAGGGCGGAAGAUAGGAGUAUUUCUACUCCUAAUACUGUGAGUGAACUUAUUAUCGUCUUAAUUAUCUAGAGUAGUUUUAUACAAUUGUGUGAUUUUAUGAAAAAUGGGUUUAAAUGGUAAAUUGCUAUGUUUUAGGAGAAAUUGUAAUUUUAUAAAAUGAUUUUAUAAAUUUUCUGAAAAAUCGAAUAUUGGUUUUGAAAAUAGAGUAAUUGGAGACUACCUGCUUGUGUUGUAAAUUUAUGGUUUUAAAUUGAAUGGCUUAUGACAAUAUAUGAGCAUGAAUGGUUAAACUGAUUUUGGUGUCAAAAUUAUUUAUAUUGUGUAUUCAGCCUUGAGAGGCUAGAUUACGAUAAAUUGCCAUGCCAUGCUAGAAUGAAUUUUAUUGAAUUGGUGGAGUAUAUAUUAAUUAUUUACUGCAGAGGGGGUUCCGUGGACCAGCCUAUUAGAGGGGCACGGUAAACUCCAUUAUAUUAUUACCUCGAACGGAGAGGCGCGUAGGGUAUCUCCUGGGGUAAAGCUUAGGGUUCACUUCACGCCAAACCACCACGUGAAGGGGAACUCAGCCAACGCUAAGGAACGGCUGUAUUUUUCUCAAACUAAAAAUAUAUUUUAAGUGUAUACAAAAUUUUAACAGCCUUGGCGGACUCAGUUGGAUGCCCUGUGCAAGGUAUCACCGAGUAUGAGUUUUAGCACGAGCCAAAGUUUUAAGAAAUUCAUAAGCCAAGUUGAUUACUCGAUUUAUAUGGAUUGAUUUUAUUUGGUUGAAAUGAACUGAAAGGUAAUGAAAUUACAAUAUGAUGACUUAUUUUAAUUGUCUCUAUUUACUCGGCUUUAGAUACUUUUGAUGGUAUCUGUUUACUUACUGGGAUUAUAAAAUCUCACCCCUUCUUCCUAUACAUUUUUCAGGCUCAGGACAGUUUGUAGAUAGUCGAGUAGGACGAGAACUAAGCUCGGAACUGCAUUAUAGAAAGUAAGAGUUCACUGUCUUACAUCAUCUUGGUCAAUUGGAGCCCACGUGUCAUUGCAAAUCAAAACUUAUAUUUUGGUUAUCUGUAUUUCUAUCCAUACAAUUUUUACUUUACUUUCAUGUGAGAAAAAUUAUUUACGAAUAUUUCUAUAAAAAUUUAUUUUAUGAGAAAAUAGAAAUUUUAUUUAUUAUUUUUGAAUAGUACUAGUUGUCAACAAUUUGCUUUCAAAUGAACGUUUUAGAUACUUAAUUAUUUUUAAAUCAUUAAAUAUAUAUUUUCUGCUUACCUACUACAUUUUU